ensembl:ncRNA C06E4.20 ncRNA
AAAGUGCAAAAAACGAUAGGUUCCACCGAGAUUUGAACUCGGGUCGCAGGAUUCAAAGUCCUGAGUGCUAACCGCUACACCAUGGAACCGGUAAAAGCGCCGUGUCAAUAAAGCGGUCUAGUGAUUUUAUCGGAAACAUCAAUAUAAUGACAAGAAAAGCGUAAUGUACAAACAUGUGAGGAAAGGAGGAGAAGAGUGGCAACCUGG